UACGGGGGGGCAAGCGUUGUUCGGAAUUACUGGGCGUAAAGGGCUCGUAGGCGGCCAACUAAGUCAGACGUGAAAUCCCUCGGCUUAACCGGGGAACUGCGUCUGAUACUGGAUGGCUAGAGGUUGGGAGAGGGAUGCGGAAUUCCCAGUGUAGCGGUGAAAUGCGUAGAUAUUGGGAGGAACACCAGUGGCGAAGGCGCUACCUGGACCGGAACUGACGCUGAGGCGCGAAAGCGUGGGUAGCAAACAGG
rnacentral:rRNA from 1 species